UACAGAGGGGGCAAGCGUUGUUCGGAAUUACUGGGCGUAAAGGGCGCGUAGGCGGCCCUCUAAGUCAUGCGUGAAAUCCCCGGGCUCAACCCGGGAACUGCGCCUGAUACUGGAGGGCUUGAAUCCGGGAGAGGGAUGUGGAAUUCCAGGUGUAGCGGUGAAAUGCGUAGAUAUCUGGAGGAACACCGGUGGCGAAGGCGGCAUCCUGGACCGGUAUUGACGCUGAGGCGCGAAAGCCAGGGGAGCAAACGGG
rnacentral:rRNA from 1 species